GUCCACGCUGUAAACGAUGAGAACUGGGCGUUGGGAGCUUCGUCUCCCUAGUGCCGAAGCUAACGCGUUAAGUUCUCCGCCUGGGAGUACGGCCGCAAGGCUAAACUCAAAGGAAUUGACGGGCCCGGCACAAGCGGUGGAGCAUGUGGUUCAAUUCGAUGCAACGCGAAAACCUUAACCUACCCUUGACAUGUCACUAAACGAAGUAGAGAUACAUUAGGUGCUCGUAAGAGAAAGUGAACACAGGUGCUGCAUGGCUGUCGU
rnacentral:rRNA from 1 species